AGCCCUUGACAUGUCCCGUAUGGACUUCAGAGAUGAGGUCCUUCAGUUCGGCUGGCGGGAACACAGGUGCUGCAUGGCUGUCGUCAGCUCGUGUCGUGAGAUGUUGGGUUAAGUCCCGCAACGAGCGCAACCCUCGCCCUUAGUUGCCAUCAUUUAGUUGGGCACUCUAAGGGGACUGCCGGUGAUAAGCCGCGAGGAAGGUGGGGAUGACGUCAAGUCCUCAUGGCCCUUACGGG
rnacentral:rRNA from 1 species